ACGAACGCUGGCGGCGUGCUUAACACAUGCAAGUCGAACAGAAAGGCCCUGCUUUUGUGGGGUGCUCGAGUGGCGAACGGGUGAGUAACACGUGAGUAACCUGCCCUUGACUUCGGGAUAACUUCAGGAAACUGGGGCUAAUACCGGAUAGGAAUCCUUGCUGCAUGGUGGGGGUUGGAAAGCUUCGGCGGUUUUGGAUGGACUCGCGGCUUAUCAGCUUGUUGGUGGGGUAGUGGCUUACCAAGGCUUUGACGGGUAGCCGGCCUGAGAGGGCGACCGGCCACAUUGGGACUGAGAUACGGCCCAGACUCCUACGGGAGGCAGCAGUGGGGAAUAUUGCACAAUGGGCGGAAGCCUGAUGCAGCAACGCCGCGUGCGGGAUGACGGCCUUCGGGUUGUAAACCGCUUUCAGCAGGGGCGAAGCUUGUGGUGACGGUACCUGCAGAAGAAGCACCGGCUAACUACGUG
rnacentral:rRNA from 1 species